UUUAUGGAGAGUUUGAUCCUGGCUCAGGAUGAACGCUGGCGGCGUGCCUAAUACAUGCAAGUCGAGCGAACGGACGAGAAGCUUGCUUCUCUGAUGUUAGCGGCGGACGGGUGAGUAACACGUGGAUAACCUACCUAUAAGACUGGGAUAACUUCGGGAAACCGUAGCUAAUACCGGAUAAUAUUUU
rnacentral:rRNA from 1 species